UACGUAGGGUGCAAGCGUUAAUCGGAAUUACUGGGCGUAAAGGGCGCGUAGGUGGUUGCGUAAGUGAGAUGUGAAAUCCCCGGGCUUAACCUGGGACGUGCAUCUUAUACUGCGUAACUGGAGUGCAAUAGAGGGUAGUGGAAUUUCCGGUGUAGCGGUGAAAUGCGUAGAUAUCGGAAGGAACACCAGUGGCGAAGGCGGCCACCUGGAUUGACACUGACACUGAGGCGCGAAAGCGUGGGGAGCAAACAGG
rnacentral:rRNA from 1 species